rnacentral:rRNA from 1 species
CCUACGGGAGGCAGCAGUGAGGAAUAUUGGUCAAUGGACGAGAGUCUGAACCAGCCAAGUAGCGUGAAGGAUGACUGCCCUAUGGGUUGUAAACUUCUUUUAUAUGGGAAUAAAAUGUUCCACGUGUGGGAUUUUGUAUGUACCAUAUGAAUAAGGAUCGGCUAACUCCGUGCCAGCAGCCGCGGUAAUACGGAGGAUCCGAGCGUUAUCCGGAUUUAUUGGGUUUAAAGGGAGCGUAGGUGGAUUGUUAAGUCAGUUGUGAAAGUUUGCGGCUCAACCGUAAAAUUGCAGUUGAAACUGGCAGUCUGGAGUACAGUAGAGGUAGGCGGAAUUCGUGGUGUAGCGGUGAAAUGCUUAGAUAUCACGAAGAAUUCCGAUUGCGAAGGCAGCUCACUGGACUGCAACUGACACUGAGGCUCGAAAGUGUGGGUAUCAAACAGGAUUAGAUACCCGGGUAGUC